CUUUUUCGAAAAACUGAUGAAAUUAAUGAACAUCCCCUUUUGUGAUCCAGACAUCCUAAUAUUCCCAACAGCAAAAUAACUGAAUGAAAAUCAUUAAAUGAAAACACAGAUAUACCAACACUGCUGAAAUUCCACAGGUUUAACUAUGGAAGAUGAUGAAUUCAACUUCUACAGAAUUGUCAAGAGCGAGAAAAAUGUUGCACAACCAGCCCUUAUGGAACUGUUUGAAACCCUAUGAGACAGAAAAUUCCCUCAAACACCAUGGAAAAAAGAUUCCGAAUGUGUCCGACUGUUUGAAGAAGAGGAAGAAAAACACUUCGAAAAAAGUUUGGAUGGAUUAUCUAACAGAGAAAAGGGAAGAAAAAGAGACAAAAGAAACCGACUUCUGAGCACAUUCCGAGAUUGUGAGUGGAAAAAUUAUGAAUGGGAUAUCAGCAAAUUUGCAUAUGCUUUAGUAGACUCUAAACUCUUUAAGUUAGAUCAAACUGAUGAGUCAGGUAUGCCAAUUAGCGAGCAUAUUGCGAAGAUAAAAGACAUUCGAAACAAAACUGCUCAUUUCACAGCAGCAACCUGUGACAAUGCCAAUUUCCAAGAAACUUUAAAGACAAUUUGUGAUCAUAUAAAAGCAUUCGAAUAAGUACAAUUGAAUGUGUCCCCGUACCUAGAAGAAUUACAGAAAAUACAAUCACAGGAAAAGCCUAUUUCUGCUGAAAAUUACAAAACGUACAUACCAAAGACAAGAUAUUU